rnacentral:rRNA from 1 species
AUGGACAGGAGCGAGGAAGAGACGAUCAUGAGUGAUUCAGACCCUCUCCUCGAUAGGAAUGAUCAGUCAGGCUCAUUGCCCCAGCUCUCGCCACCACAGCCGGCGACCGUGACUGUGCUGGAAAUUGAGGAUGAGGAGACCGAUGGUUCUUAUGCCGCAUGCUGCCGCAUUUGCCUUGAGGCCGAGUCGGAGAUAGGUGAUGAGCUAAUAUCACCUUGCAUGUGCAAGGGAACUCAGCAGUUUGUUCACCGUUCAUGCCUAGACCAUUGGAGGUCUGUGAAGGAAGGAUUUGCAUUCUCACACUGCACAACAUGCAAAGCUCAGUUCCAUCUUCGAGUGGAAACUCUGGAAGAUAACUCAUGGCGCAAAAUAAAGUUCCGGCUCUUCGUGGCAAGAGAUGUUAUACUUGGUUUUCUUGCAGUUCAAAUUACUAUUGCUACCAUUAGUGCAAUUGCAUACUUUCUAGACAGGGACGGAAGUUUCCGGAAUAGUUUCAGUGAUGGUUGGGAUCGUAUCUUGUCAAAGCAUCCAAUACCGUUCUACUACUGCAUAGGGGUUGUGGUUUUCUUUGUGCUGCUUGGAUUUUUCGGGUUGAUAGUGCACUGCUCGUCCUUGAACGACAAUCAAGAUCCUUGCUUAGCUGGGUGCCGGAACUGCUGCUAUGGUUGGGGCAUCCUGGACUGUCUCCCUGCUUCUUUGGAGGCCUGCUUUGCCCUGGUGGUGCUCUUCAUCGUCGUUUUCGCUAUCCUUGGGAUUGCAUACGGUUUCCUCGCGGCGACUAUGGCCGUCCAGAGGAUCUGGCAGAGACAUUAUCACAUCCUGACCAAAAGAGAGCUCACAAAGGAAUACGUAGUGGAAGAUCUGCACGGCAGCUACUCGGCCCCGAAGCUUGAGCCAGAGCACGAGGAGCGGCUGAAAAUGCUGAAGCUACUGUAG